GUGAACGCUGGCGGUAGGCCUAACCCAUGCAAGUCGAACGGCAGCACAGUAAGAGCUUGCUCUUACGGGUGGCGAGUGGCGGACGGGUGAGGAAUACAUCGGAAUCUACUUUUUCGUGGGGGAUAACGUAGGGAAACUUACGCUAAUACCGCAUACGACCUACGGGUGAAAGCAGGGAAUUUCCGGCCUUUCGGCGUUUGAAUGACCCGUUGUCGGAUUAGCUAGUUGGCGGGGUAAAGGCCCACCAAGGCGACGAUCCGUAGCUGGUCUGAGAGGAUGAUCAGCCACACUGGAACUGAGACACGGUCCAGACUCCUACGGGAGGCAGCAGUGGGGAAUAUUGGACAAUGGGCGCAAGCCUGAUCCAGCCAUACCGCGUGGGUGAAGAAGGCCUUCGGGUUGUAAAGCCCUUUUGUUGGGAAAGAAAAGCAGCAGGUUAAUACCCCGCUGUUCUGACGGUACCCAAAGAAUAAGCACCGGCUAACUUCGUG
rnacentral:rRNA from 1 species